GGACGAUGUCAGUACCGAAGUGCGCC
rnacentral:sRNA from 1 species